AAUCAACGCUGGCGGCGUGCCUAACACAUGCAAGUCGAACGCGAAAGCCCCGCAAGGGGCAAGUAGAGUGGCAAACGGGCGAGUAACACGUGGGUGACCUGCCUUCGAGCGGGGGAUAACGUCCCGAAAGGGACGCUAAUACCGCAUAACAUCCUGCCUUUGAAGAGGUGGAGAUCAAAGCUGGGGAUCGCAAGACCCGGCACUUGAAGAGGGGCCCGCGCCUGAUUAGCUAGUUGGGGGGUAAUGGCCUACCAAGGCAACGAUCAGUAUCCGGCCUGAGAGGGCGGACGGACACACUGGGACUGAGACACGGCCCAGACUCCUACGGGAGGCAGCAGUGGGGAAUUGUUCGCAAUGGGCGCAAGCCUGACGACGCAACGCCGCGUGGAGGAUGAAGAUUUUCGGAUCGUAAACUCCUGUCGAAUGGGAACGAAAGAUAACGGGUUAACAGCCCGUAAUCCUGACGGUACCGUU
rnacentral:rRNA from 1 species